rnacentral:rRNA from 1 species
GACGAACGCUGGCGGCGUGCUUAACACAUGCAAGUCGAACGAAGUGGCGAACGGGUGAGUAACGCGUAAUCAACCUGCCCUUCAGAGGGGGACAACAGUUGGAAACGACUGCUAAUACCGCAACAUGACGGAGGGGAUUGCGUCUGAUUAGCUAGUUGGGGGGGUAACGACCCACCAAGGGGAUGAUUAGUAGCCGGUCCGGGUGGAUGGACGGCCACAAUGGGACUGAGACACGGCCCAGACUCCUACUGGAGGCAGCAAGGGGGAACCUUUCGCAAAUGAGGAAAGGCUGACGGAGCAACGCCGCGUGAUUGAUGACGGCCUUCGGGUUGUAAAGCUCUGUUAAUCGGGACGCGGUACCUAAAUAGAAAGCCACGGCUAACUACGUGCCAGCAGCCGCGGUAAUAC